rnacentral:rRNA from 1 species
GACGAACGCUGGCGGCGUGCUUAACACAUGCAAGUCGAACGGAAAGGCCCUGCUUUUGUGGGGUGCUCGAGUGGCGAACGGGUGAGUAACACGUGAGUAACCUGCCCUUGACUUUGGGAUAACUUCGGGAAACCGUAGCUAAUACCGGAUAAUAUUUUGAACCGCAUGGUUCAAAAGUGAAAGACGGUCUUGCUGUCACUUAUAGAUGGAUCCGCGCUGCAUUAGCUAGUUGGUAAGGUAACGGCUUACCAAGGCAACGAUGCAUAGCCGACCUGAGAGGGUGAUCGGCCACACUGGAACUGAGACACGGUCCAGACUCCUACGGGAGGCAGCAGUAGGGAAUCUUCCGCAAUGGGCGAAAGCCUGACGGAGCAACGCCGCGUGAGUGAUGAAGGUCUUCGGAUCGUAAAACUCUGUUAUUAGGGAAGAACAUAUGUGUAAGUAACUGUGCACAUCUUGACGGUACCUAAUCAGAAAGCCACGGCUAACUACGUG